rnacentral:rRNA from 1 species
UGGGGAAUAUUGCACAAUGGAGGGAACUCUGAUGCAGCGACGCCGCGUGAACGAAGAAGGCUUUCGAGUCGUAAAGUUCUUUUAUAUGGGAAGAUAAUGACGGUACCAGAAGAAGAAGCCCCGGCUAACUACGUGCCAGCAGCCGCGGUAAUACGUAGGGGGCUAGCGUUGUCCGGAAUCACUGGGCGUAAAGGGUUCGCAGGCGGAAAUGCAAGUCAGGUGUAAAAGGCAGUAGCUUAACUACUGUAAGCAUUUGAAACUGCAUAUCUUGAGAAGAGUAGAGGUAAGUGGAAUUUUUAGUGUAGCGGUGAAAUGCGUAGAUAUUAAAAAGAAUACCGGUGGCGAAGGCGACUUACUGGGCUCAUUCUGACGCUGAGGAACGAAAGCGUGGGUAGCAAACAGG